rnacentral:lncRNA from 1 species
CUGUCUAAUCUGGUAGCCACUAGUCACCUGUGCCUGUUGAGUACUUGAAAUAUGGCUAGUCCAAAUUGAAAUGUGUUGUAAGUGUACAAUACAGGCCAGAUCUCCAAGACUGAGUAUAAAAGAAAAUGUAACCUGUCUCAUUGUAAUCUUAAUAUCAGUUACGUGUUGAAAUAAUAUUUUGAAAAUAUGAGGCUAAAAAUAUUACUAAAUUUAAUUUCACCUAUUUCUUUUUACCUUUUUAAAGAUGACUCCUAGAAAAUUUCAAGUUAUACAUGUGGUUUGUAUUUUAUGUCUAUUGGAAAGUGCUGGUUUAUAUCCUGACUUUAAUGCUUAGAAUGGGAAAGAUUAAUCUAAGUACACAGUAACAGCAAGGGACAUUCACCCACUUCCGUUCUAAUUUCCUGUACUGUUCCUUAUUUUACCAAAUGAAUUGGGUAAUAGAGAUAAGAGUGCUAGCAUUGGGGCAAUGACUUUCUCUUCAUAGUCUCAGCAUUAUUGAUUUGGAACUCAAUAAGUAUAUGAUAAAUAAAUGAAUAAAUGAAUUGAAUGAAUGAUCAUUUGAAUGAAUAUAUUGAGUGAUGAGGAUUUUUAGGCUGCUUAAUUUUAAAAUGGCUUAUGAUGAGGAUUUUUAGGCUGGUUAGUUUUAAAACUACAGAUGAGAUUCAGGCUCCAAGGAGUGGAAUUUGUUUGCCCCUUUGUUGGGAAACAUUUACAUUUCUAAGGGAAACCUCUAUCUGUGAAGAUGCCUCCCUCUCUGUGCCAGGAAGAGGGGGGGAUGGUCUUAUCUCUAGAGGCAGAGGCAAGAACUUAAGUUGGUUGCUGUUUGGCAAUCUCAUGUAACUGCUUUAGGGUGGUGGCGUCUAACCUUUCUAACCUUUACUUAAUCCGAUUUGAUUCUUGUCUAAAAGUCAUGGGAUCACCCAAUGACCAGACCCCACCCGCACUGAUACCAUUUUAACUUUUUUUCAUGUUCUUUCCUUUGUCUUGUAAAGAGAUGAAUCAUAUACCUAUGCCUUAUAAAAUUAGCCCUAACCCUCAACUCUGGGCAGCAGCAGGAGCUCUGACUGCCCGUGGGUCCUGUCCCCAUGCCAGCGGGGGCAGCAGCAGCUGCUCUGCCUGCCCAUGGGCCCUGUCCCUAUGCCAGCAGGGGCAGCAGAAGCGGCGGCAGCAGAAGCUGUGACUGCCCAUGGGUCCUGUCCCCAUGCUAUUCUAUUCUCUAAAUAAAAGAGCACUACUGCCAGAUCUUGAGAGUCCAAGAAAUCUUUCUUUCGACUCCUCGGCUCACC